rnacentral:rRNA from 1 species
CCUGGUUGAUCUUGCCAGCAGCACAUUCUUGUCUCAAAGAUUAAGCCAUGCAUGUCUUAAGUAUAGACAGUGAAACUGCGAAUGGCUCAUUAAAUCAGAUAUGGUUCCUUUGAUCGCUCUAAACGUUACUUGGAUAACUGAGGCAAUUCUAGAGCUAAUAUGUGGGGAUGUGUGCGUUUAUCAGAGCAAAACGAAUCUAGGCUCACCCGGCAGCUUUGGUGACACUAGAUAACCCGGGGCCAAUUGCAAGUCCUCCUGACGGUGACGACUCAAUCUAAUGUCUGCCCUAUCAACUUUCGAUGAUACCUUCUGUGCCUACCAUGGUCACCACGGGUAACGGGGAAUCAGGGUUUGAUUCCAGACAGGGAACCUGAGAAACAGCUACCACAUCCAAGGAAGGCAGCAGGCGUGCAAGUUACCCACUCCCAACUUGGGGAGGUAGUGACGAAAAUAACAACACAGGACUCUUUCGAUGCCCUAUGAUUGGAAUGAGUACAUUUUAAAUCCUUUAACAAGGAUCUAUUGGAGGGCAAGUCUGGUGCCAGCAGCCGCGGCAAUUCCAACUCCAAUAGCGUAUAUUAAAGCUGCUGCAGUUAAAAAGCUCGUAGUUGGAUCUUGGGAUCAAGCUGGCGGUCCGCCACGAGGCGAGCUACCGCCUGUCCCAGCCUCUACCUCUCGGCUGAUGCUCUUAGCUGAGUGUCCCGGUGGUGUGAAGUGUUUACUUUGAAAAAAUUAGAGUGUUCAAAGCAGGCCUGAAUACUCCAGCUAGGAAUAAUGGAAUACAACCCCGGUUCUAUUUUUUUGGUUUUCGGAACUGAGGCCAUGAUUAAGAGGGAUGGCUGGGGGCAUUCAUAUUGUGCCGCUAGAGGUGAAACUCUUGGACUGGUGCAAGACGAACAAAAGCGAAAACGUUUGCCAAGAGUGUUUUCAUUAAUCAAAAACGAAAGUCAGAGUUUCGAAGACGAUCAGAUACCGUCGUAGUUCCGACCAUAAACAACGCUGACUAGCAAUUCGGCGGCGUUAUUCCCAUGACCCGCCAAGCAGCUUCUAGGAAACCAAAGUCUUUGGGUUCCAGGGGGAGUGUGGUUGCAAAGCUGAAACUUAAAUGAAUAGACGGAAGGGUACCACCAGAAGUGGAGCCUGCGGCUUAAUUUGUCUCAACAUGGGAAACCUCACCCGGCCCGCACAUGGAAAGGAUUGACAGAUUGAUAGCUCUUUCUCGAAUCUGUGGGUGGUGGUGCAUGGCCGUUCCUAGUUAGUGGAGCGGUUUGUCUGGUUAAUUCUGAUAAUGAACAAGACCCCUCCAUGGUAAAUAGUUACACAACCUCCGAGCAGUCCAUGUUCAACUUCUUAGAGGGACAAGUGGCAUACAGCCACAUGAGAUUGAGCAAUAACAGGUCUGUGAUGCCCUUAGGUAUCCAAGGCUGCACGCGCCUACACUGAACAGAUCAAUGUGUGUUUACCCCACGCCACCAGGUGUGGGUAACCCAUUGAACCCCGUUCAUAAUAGGGAUUGGGAAUUGCAAUUAUUUCCCAUGAACAAGGAAUUCCGAGUAAGUGUGGAUCAUAAGCUCGCGUUGAUUAAGUCCUUGCCCUUUGUACGCACCGCCUGUCACUACUACCGAUUGGAUGGUUUAGUGAGGCCCUCGGAUCGGCCUCCGCGGAGUCAGCGACGGCCCUGGUGGAGCACUGAGAAGACGAUCAAACUUGACUAUCUAAAGGAAGUAAAAGUCGUAACAAGAUUUCAUAGGUGAACCUGCGGAAG